rnacentral:rRNA from 1 species
AAUGAACGCUGGCGGCAGGCCUAACACAUGCAAGUCGAACGGAUCCUUCGGGAUUAGUGGCGGACGGGUGAGUAACGCGUGGGAACAUACCCAAAGGUACGGAAUAGCCUCGGGAAACUGGGAGUAAUACCGUAUGUGCUCGAAAGAGGAAAGAUUUAUCGCCUUUGGAUUGGCCCGCGUUGGAUUAGGUAGUUGGUGGGGCAAUGGCCUACCAAGCCGACGAUCCAUAGCUGGUUUGAGAGGAUGAUCAGCCACACUGGGACUGAGACACGGCCCAGACUCCUACGGGAGGCAGCAGUGGGGAAUCUUAGACAAUGGGGGAAACCCUGAUCUAGCCAUGCCGCGUGAUCGAUGAAGGCCUUAGGGUUGUAAAGAUCUUUCAGGUGGGAAGAUAAUGACUGUACCACCAGAAGAAGCCCCGGCUAACUCCGUGCCAGCCGCCACGGUAA